GGGGGUAUAGCUCAGUUGGGAGAGCGACUGGUUUGCAACCAGUAGGCCGACGGUUCGAUUCCGUUUACCUCCACCA
rnacentral:tRNA from 1 species